AGUAACGCGUGAGGAACCUGCCUCAAAGAGGGGGGCAACAGUUGGAAACGACUGCUAAUACCGCAUAAGCCCACGGCUCGGCAUCGAGCAGAGGGAAAAGGAGCGAUCCGCUUUGAGAUGGCCUCGCGUCCGAUUAGCUAGUUGGUGAGGUAACGGCCCACCAAGGCGACGAUCGGUAGCCGGACUGAGAGGUUGAACGGCCACAUUGGGACUGAGACACGGCCCAG
rnacentral:rRNA from 1 species